AAUAAAAUUGUGUUUUUGUUUCCAGUGUUUAUUGUUAGUGUAUAGAAAUGCAAUUGAUUUUUAAAAAUGUAUAUCUUGUAUUUUGUGACCUUGCGGAGCUCACUUUUUAAUUUUAGGAGAUUUUUUCUUUGCAUGAUCCAUAGGAUUUUCUAUUUCAAUAAUAAUGCCAACUGCACACAGCACAGUUUAUCCCUUUUUUUCUCAAUUUACAUGCCAUUAUUUCUUUUUCUUGUUUUAUUGCACUGGCUAGAACUUUGAGCACUAUGUUGAAUAAGAGUGGUAACAGCAGAUAGAUGUUGUUGCCUUGUUCCUGAUUUUACAGAGCAAGCAUUCAAUCUUUCAUUCUUUAUAAUUUUAGCUGUGAUAUUUUUGUAGAUGCUGUUUAUCAAGUAGAGAAAGUUAUUCUCAAUUUUUAUUUUUCUGAGAGUUUUUAAAAUUAUAAAUGCAUGUUGAAUUUUUCAAAAAUCUUUUUCUUCAUAGAGUAUAUGAUCAUAUGCUCUUUCUUCUUUAGGGUGCUCAUUUGAUGGGUUAUAUUAAUUUAUUUUCAAAUAUUAAAGUAGUCUUAAACCACUUGGUCAUGAUGUAUAAUAAAUUCUAUUUACUAAUAUUUUGUUAAAGAUUUUUGCAUCUAUAUUCUUGAGGGAUAUUGGUCUGAAGCUUUCUUUUGUUUUGUUUGGUACUGUCUUUGGUUUUGAUAUCAAGGUAAUAUUAACUUCAUACAAUGAAUUAAGAAGUGUUCUGUUUUCUUCCCUUCAAGAGAUUGUGUAGAAUUGGUGUUAAAUUUUCUUUAAAAGUUUGGUAGAAUUCUCCAGAGAAAUUAUUUGGCUUGGAGAUUAAUUUGGGAUAGAGAUGAGUUUUUAGCUUAUGAAUUCAAUUUACUUAAUAUUUAAAUAUCUGUUCAAAUUUUCUAUGUCAUAUUGGAUAAAUUGUGGUAGUUUUCUGUUUUUUUUUUUCCUGAGGAAUAGUAAAAUUUCUUCUAAGUUAUUAAAUUUAGUUAUGCAGAGAUGUUUGUAGUAUUCACUUACUAUCUUUUUGAUGUCUUCAGGAUCUGUUUUAUUCCUGAUGUUGGCAAUUAGAAUAAUCUUUUUCCUUUUUUGUCAGUCUUGCCAGAAGUUUGUCAAUCUUAUUGAUCAUUCAAAGAAACAGCUUUUCGUUUCUAUUUUUUUUUUGUUUUCAUUUCCAUUGCUUUUCUGCUCUUAUCUUUAUUAUUGCUUUCCUUGUGCUUACUUUAUUUAGAUUUACACUGGUCUUCUUUUUAUAGAUUCUUGAGGAGCAAGCUUGAAUUACUGAUUUGAAGCAUUGUCUCUACCCUAAUCUAAGUGCUAUCUAUACAUCUGGUGCUAUAAAUUUCCCUCUUAGUCCUGCCUACAUUUGUCCUCAAAAUUUCGGUAUGGUGUGUUUUUAUUUUCAUUCAGUUGAAUAUAUUUCUCGGAUUUUUCUUAAAUCUUCUUUUUUGGCCAAUGAGUUAUUUGGAAUUGUGUUGUUCAGUUUUCAAGUCUUUGAGGAUUUUUCUUUCUUUCUAUUAUUGAUUUAUAGUUUGAUUUCCUUGUUAUCAGAAAACAUACUCUUCAUGGUUUCAAUUCAUAUGGCCCAGUAUAUGGUCUUUCAUGGCAUACAUUUUAUGGGUGCUUAAAAAGAAUGUAUAUUCUUCUGUUGUUGUGUCCUAUAAAAGUCUAUUAGAUUCAUUUAGUUAAGAGUGUUUUAAUCUUCUAUAAUCUUGUUGAUUUUCUGUCUAGUUGUUCUAUCAGUUGUUGGAUAGGGGUGUUGAAAUUUCCAACUUUAGUCGUGGAGUUGUAUAGUUUUCCUUUUAGUGAUAUUGCUUUUCAUUUCACAUCUUUUGCAUCUUGGUUGUUUGAUACGUAUACUUUUAUAAUUGCUAUGUCUUCUUGGUAGAUUGACCCUUUUGUCAUUAUAUGGUGUCUUACUCUAAUUCUUUUGUUUUCUCUGUUCUAUUUAAUCUGAUACUAUAAUAGAAG
rnacentral:lncRNA from 1 species